GACGAACGCUGGCGGCGUGCUUAACACAUGCAAGUCGAACGGAAAGGCCCCCUUGUUGGUUACUCGAGUGGCGAACGGGUGAGUAACACGUGAGUAACCUACCCUUGACUUUGGGAUAACUUCAGGAAACUGGGGCUAAUACCGGAUAGGAUCUCCUGCUGCAUGGUGGGGGUUGGAAAGUUUCGGCGGUUGGGGAUGGGCUCGCGGCUUAUCAGCUUGUUCGUGGGGUAGUGGCUCACCAAGGCUUUGACGGGUAGCCGGCCUGAGAGGGUGACCGGCCACAUUGGGACUGAGAUACGGCCCAGACGCCUACGGGAGGCAGCAGUGGGGAAUAUUGCACAAUGGGCGGAAGCCUGAUGCAGCAACGCCGCGUGCGGGAUGACGGCCUUCGGGUUGUAAACCGAUUUCGCAUGUGACGAAGCGUGAGUGACGGUAAUGGGUAAAGAAGCACCGGCUAACUACGUG
rnacentral:rRNA from 1 species